UAGGGAAUCUUCGGCAAUGGACGGAAGUCUGACCGAGCAGCGCCGCGUGAGUGAAGAAGGUUUUCGGAUCGUAAAGCUCUGUUGUAAGAGAAGAACGAGUGUGAGAGUGGAAAGUUCACACUGUGACGGUAUCUUACCAGAAAGGGACGGCUAACUACGUGCCAGCAGCCGCGGUAAUACGUAGGUCCCGAGCGUUGUCCGGAUUUAUUGGGCGUAAAGCGAGCGCAGGCGGUUAGAUAAGUCUGAAGUUAAAGGCUGUGGCUUAACCAUAGUACGCUUUGGAAACUGUUUAACUUGAGUGCAAGAGGGGAGAGUGGAAUUCCAUGUGUAGCGGUGAAAUGCGUAGAUAUAUGGAGGAACACCGGUGGCGAAAGCGGCUCUCUGGCUUGUAACUGACGCUGAGGCUUGAAAGCGUGGGGAGCAAACAGGAUUAGAUACCCUGGUAGUCCACGCCGUAAACGAUGAGUGCUAGGUGUUAGACCCUUUCCGGGGCUUAGUGCCGCAGCUAACGCAUUAAGCACUCCGCCUGGGGAGUACGACCGCAAGGUUG
rnacentral:rRNA from 1 species